rnacentral:misc_RNA from 1 species
UUUCCGUAGGUGAGCCUGCGGAAGGAUCAUUAACACUUUUUAUCUCUCUUUUUUUUUUUCUCUUUUUUAACAAAAAAGAAAAAGAAAAAAACCCAAACUUGUGUGGAAAUGUCCAAAAAAAAAAAAAACUGGCAGGAGAAGGAAAUUUUCUUUCCUUCAAAAACAAUUUUUUUUUUUCUUUUUUUUUUAAUAAACACCCCCCUUUUUUUUUAAAAAAAAAAAAAGCGUUAAAUUAACUUUUUUUUAAAGAAAAUUUUUGAUGUGUUGAUUCUUUUCUCACCUCAACAAAUUUUUACACUAAAUUCACAAAAACAAAAACAAAAAAUCUAAUAAUAAAAAAAAAAACUAAGAUACAACUCUUAACAAUGGAUAUCUUGGUUCUC